rnacentral:rRNA from 1 species
CCUACGGGGGGCUGCAGUGAGGAAUAUUGGUCAAUGGGCGCGAGCCUGAACCAGCCAAGUAGCGUGAAGGAUGACUGCCCUACGGGUUGUAAACUUCUUUUAUAACGGAAUAAAGUGAGGCACGUGUGCCUUUUUGUAUGUACUUUAUGAAUAAGGAUCUGCUAACUCCGUGCCAGCAGCCGCGGGAAUACGGUGGAUCCGAGCGUUAUCCGGAUUUAUUGGGUUUAAAGGGAGCGUAGAUGGGUGGUUAAGUCAGUUGUGAAAGUUUGCGGCUCAACCGUAAAAUUGCAAUUGAUACUGGCAGCCUUGAGUACAGUUGAGGUAGGCGGAAUUCGUGGUGUAGCGGUGAAAUGCUUAGAUAUCACGAAGAACUCCGAUUGCGAAGGCAGCUUACUAAACUGCCACUGACAUUGAUGCGCGAAAGUGUGGGGAUCAAACAGGAUUAGAUACCCGAGUAGUC